rnacentral:rRNA from 1 species
UGCGCAGGCGGUUUCGCAAGUCAGAUGUGAAAUCCCCGGGCUUAACCUGGGAACUGCAUUUGAAACUACGAGGCUAGAGUGUGUCAGAGGGGGUAGAAUUCCACGUGUAGCAGUGAAAUGCGUAGAGAUGUGGAGGAAUACCGAUGGCGAAGGCAGCCCCCUGGGAUAACACUGACGCUCAUGCACGAAGGCGUGGGGAGCAAACAGGAUUAGAUACCCUGGUAGUCCACGCCCUAAACGAUGUCAACUAGUUGUCGGGGAUUCAUUUCCUGGUAACGCAGCUAACGCGUGAAGUUGACCGCCUGGGGAUACGGUCGCAAGAUUAAA